UACGAAGGGGGCGAGCGUUGUUCGGAAUUACUGGGCGUAAAGGGCGCGUAGGCGGCGAUCCGAGUCAGAUGUGAAAGUCCUGGGCUUAACCUGGGGACUGCAUUUGAUACUGGGUUGCUUGAAUUCGGGAGAGGAUGGCGGAAUUCCCAGUGUAGAGGUGAAAUUCGUAGAUAUUGGGAAGAACACCGGUGGCGAAGGCGGCUAUCUGGACCGACAUUGACGCUGAGGCGCGAAAGCGUGGGGAGCAAACAGG
rnacentral:rRNA from 1 species